AUACGUAGGUGACAAGCGUUAUCCGGAUUUACUGGGCGUAAAGGGCUCGUAGGUGGUUUGUCGCGUCGUCUGUGAAAUUCCGGGGCUUAACUCCGGGCGUGCAGGCGAUACGGGCAUAACUUGAGUGCUGGAGGGGAUAGCGGAAUUCCUAGUGGAGCGGUAAAAUGCGCAGAUAUUAGGAAGAACACCGGUGGCGAAGGCGGCUAUCUGGACAGAAACUGACGCUGAGGCGCGAAAGCGUGGGGAGCGAACAGGAUUAGAUACCCUGGUAGUCCAUGCCGUAAACGGUGGGCGCUAGGUGUAGGGGUCUUCCACGACUUCUGUGCCGUAGCUAACGAAUUAAGCGCCCCGCCUGGGGAGUACGGCCGCAAAGCUAAAACUCAAAUGAAUUGACGGG
rnacentral:rRNA from 1 species